rnacentral:tRNA from 1 species
UUAAUUAAAACCAAAAAGAGGUUCUUUAUUGUUAAUAAAGUUAAUGAAUAAAAUUCUAAUUAAA